AGUAAUCAGAACCAAUGACGUAUCUUCAAAGUACUGGUUCUUUAACUUGGAUAUGAGGUUAGGAGUAUCUUUAAUACAUGUUGAUAAAUUCUCCACUGACUCCUUAAAUAAGGCAUCCAGCCACUUGGCCACUGGUUCUAAUAUACCACCCACAGCUGACACUAUGGGGUGUCCAGGGGGUGAGUGAGACUCUUGUGGAUCUUCGGAAUCGUAUAUAUUAU